CGUGUAGGCGGCCAAGCAAGUCAGAGGUGAAAGCCCCUGGGCUCAACCUGGGAACUGCCUUUGAAACUGUUUGGCUUGAGACCGGAAGAGGAUGGCGGAAUUCCCCAGUGUAGAGGUGAAAUUCGUAGAUAUUGGGAAGAACACCGGUGGCGAAGGCGGCCAUCUGGUCCGGUUCUGACGCUGAGGCGUGAAAGCGUGGGGAGCAAACA
rnacentral:rRNA from 1 species